rnacentral:misc_RNA from 1 species
GAAAAAUGAAAAACAAUCAGCAUUCAGAUUUCAAAAUCCAUAGGUCCCAGACGGUUGAUUUUAUCUCUUUCCCAAUUUAAGUUCUCUUCUUCCUCGUUAUAACCCAUCUCAGGCUCACCUUCUCAUUCCACAAAGCAUCUCCCAUAGUCAAAGCAGAAGAAUCAAUGGCUCACAAAUUUUUCUGCAACCUCCUUCUUCUUCUCUUGCUGGUUAUACUUAUUACAGGGGGAAAUUCUGAUAUAACUUUCAAUUUUGAGAAUAAUUGUCUGGAAACCUUGUGGCUUGCCUCCAGCCCAUCCGACGGUGAUCUGGAUCCCCAAAAUGGACCAGGCACACUGGAAAUAUUCUCCAUGCCAGAUCCAUGGACCGGAAGCAUAUGGGUACGAACCAAAUGUAGUACCAAUUCAACGGGUUACUUCUCUUGCCAAACUGGAGAUUGUGGGUCGGGUGCAGAAGAAUGCCAGGGUCCACCACCCACAUACCCGGUUACCCUGCUCAAUUUCAAUAUCAAACAGAACUUGGUUUCAUAUGAAGUGAGCUUGAUCCAUGGGCACAACAUUGCAGUUCGGAUCCAACCAAAUGGCGGGUCAUUAACUGGAGCAGGGUCUGGACCAUGCCCGGCUGUGGAUUGCAUUCAGGAUAUUAGCAAUAUUUGUCCAGCUUCCCUGGUGGCUAAAAAUAAAGACGGAGUCUAUGUUGGAUGCUAUAAUGCAUGUGAUGCAUUAAAGGAUCCGAAAUUCUGCCAGGAUAAUGAAUACUCAAAACUCUUCAAGCAAUUGUGUAAUUUAGCACAUACCUACCCCGGAGACAAUAAUCCUCCACUUUACAAGUGUAGUGGGGCUGCCAGUUACAAUAUAACAUUCUGUCCUGUGUUAUAAAUUUCCCAUGCUAUUUUUCAAUUUGGUGAUCACUCAUCAUUCUAUCAAGUGUUACAAUUUUAUUCGCUCAUGGGAAUCACAACGAAAAAUUUUUUUGUUUAAAUCCGA